rnacentral:rRNA from 1 species
GUAGGUGGCAAGCGUUGUCCGGAAUUAUUGGGCGUAAAGCGCGCGCAGGCGGUUCUUUAAGUCUGAUGCGAAAGCCCACGGGCUCAACCGUGGAGGGUCAUUGGAAACUGGAGAACUUGAGUACAGAAGAGGAAAGCGGAAUUCCACGUGUAGCGGUGAAAUGCGUAGAGAUGUGGAGGAACACCAGUGGCGAAGGCGGCUUUCUGGUCUGUAACUGACGCCGAGGCGCGAAAGCGUGGGGAGCAAACAGGAUUAGAUACCCUGGUAGUCCACGCCGUAAACGAUGAGUGCUAAGUGUUAGGGGGUUUCCGCCCCUUAGUGCUGCAGCUAACGCAUUAAGCACUCCGCCUGGGGAGUACGGCCGCAAAGGCUG